AAUCAACGCUGGCGGCGUGCCUAACACAUGCAAGUCGAACGAGAAAGUGGAGCAAUCCAUGAGUAAAGUGGCGCACGGGUGAGUAACACGUGACUAACCUACCCUUGAGUGGGGGAUAACCUCGGGAAACCUUGGCUAAUACCGCAUAACACCUACGGGUCAAAGGAGCAAUUCGCUUAAGGAGGGGGUCGCGGCAGAUUAGUUAGUUGGCAGGGUAAUGGCCUACCAAGACGGUGAUCUGUAUCCGGCCUGAGAGGGCGCACGGACACACUGGAACUGAAACACGGUCCAGACUCCUACGGGAGGCAGCAGUGGGGAAUUUUGCGCAAUGGGGGAAACCCUGACGCAGCAACGCCGCGUGGAGGAUGAAGUCCCUUGGGACGUAAACUCCUUUCGACCGGGACGAUAAUGACGGUACCGGAAGAAGAAGCCCCGGCUAACUUCGUGCCAGCAGCCGCGGUAAUACGAGGGGGGCGAGCGUUGUUCGGAAUUAUUGGGCGUAAAGGGUGCGUAGGCGGUUCGGUAAGUUUCGUGUGAAAUCUUCGGGCUCAACUCGAAGUCUGCACGAGAUACUGCCGGGCUUGAGUGUGGGAGAGGUGAGUGGAAUUUCCGGUGUAGCGGUGAAAUGCGUAGAUAUCGGAAGGAAACACCUGUGGGCGAAAGCGGCUCACUGGACCAUAACUGACGCUGAGGCACGAAAGCUAGGGGAGCAAACAGGAUUAGAUACCCUGGUAGUCCUAGCCCUAAACGAUGAUCGCUUGGUGUGACGGGUACCCAAUCCCGCCGUGCCGUAGCUAACGCGUUAAGCGAUCCGCCUGGGGAGUACGGUCGCAAGGCUGAAACUCAAGGGAAUUGACGGGGGCCCGCACAAGCGGUGGAGCAUGUGGUUUAAUUCGACGCAACGCGAAGAACCUUACCUGGGCUCGAAAUGUAGAGGAAUCCGGUGGAAACAUCGGCGCCUAGCAAUAGGCCUCUAUAUAGGUGCUGCAUGGCUGUCGUCAGCUCGUGUCGUGAGAUGUUGGGUUAAGUCCCGCAACGAGCGCAACCCUUAUUACCAGUUGCCAUCAUUUAGUUGGGCACUCUGGUGAGACUGCCUCGGACAACGGGGAGGAAGGCGGGGAUGACGUCAAGUCCUCAUGGCCUUUAUGUCCAGGGCUACACACGUGCUACAAUGGCCGGUACAAACCGUCGCAAACCCGCGAGGGGGAGCUAAUCGGAAAAAGCCGGCCUCAGUUCGGAUUACAGUCUGCAACUCGACUGUAUGAAGCUGGAAUCGCUAGUAAUCGCGGAUCAGAACGCCGCGGUGAAUACGUUCCCGGGCCUUGUACUCACCGCC
rnacentral:rRNA from 1 species